UGAACGCUAGCGGCAGGCUUAACACAUGCAAGUCGAGGGGUAACGGGGAAGCUUGCUUCCGCCGACGACCGGCGCACGGGUGCGUAACGCGUAUACAAUCUACCUUGUACUGGGGUAUAGCCUUUAGAAAUGAAGAUUAAUCCCCCAUAGUCUCUUAGAGUGGCAUCACUUCUAGAGUAAAGGUUACGGUAUAAGAUGAGUAUGCGUUCUAUUAGUUUGUUGGUGUGGUAACGGCACACCAAGACUACGAUAGAUAGGGGCCCUGAGAGGGGGAUCCCCCACACUGGUACUGAGACACGGACCAGACUCCUACGGGAGGCAGCAGUGAGGAAUAUUGGACAAUGGAGGCAACUCUGAUCCAGCCAUGCCGCGUGCAGGAAGACUGCCCUAUGGGUUGUAAACUGCUUUUAUACAGGAAGAAACACCUCUACGUGUAGAGGCUUGACGGUACUGUAAGAAUAAGGAUCGG
rnacentral:rRNA from 1 species